AGCGAACGCUGGCGGCAGGCCUAACACAUGCAAGUCGAACGAACUCUUCGGAGUUAGUGGCGGACGGGUGAGUAACACGUGGGAACGUGCCUUUUGGUUCGGAAUAACUCAGGGAAACUUGUGCUAAUACCGAAUGUGCCCUUCGGGGGAAAGAUUUAUCGCCAUUAGAGCGGCCCGCGUCUGAUUAGCUAGUUGGUGAGGUAACGGCUCACCAAGGCGACGAUCAGUAGCUGGUCUGAGAGGAUGACCAGACACACUGGGACUGAGACACGGCCCAGACUCCUACGGGAGGCAGCAGUGGGGAAUCUUGCGCAAUGGGCGAAAGCCUGACGCAGCCAUGCCGCGUGAAUGAUGAAGGUCUUAGGAUUGUAAAAUUCUUUAACCGGGGACGAUAAUGACGGUACCCGGAGAAGAAGCCCCGGCUAACUUCGUG
rnacentral:rRNA from 1 species